UACGAAGGGGGCUAGCGUUGCUCGGAAUCACUGGGCGUAAAGGGUGCGUAGGCGGGUCUUUUAAGUCAGGGGUGAAAUCCUGGAGCUCAACUCCAGAACUGCCUUUGAUACUGAAGAUCUUGAGUUCGGGAGAGGUGAGUGGAACUGCGAGUGUAGAGGUGAAAUUCGUAGAUAUUCGCAAGAACACCAGUGGCGAAGGCGGCUCACUGGCCCGAUACUGACGCUGAGGCACGAAAGCGAUGGGGGAGCCAAACAGG
rnacentral:rRNA from 1 species